rnacentral:rRNA from 1 species
CCUCCGAAGUUUCCCUCAGGAUAGCUGGUGCAUUUUANAAUUAUGUAAAAUAAUCUUAUCUGGUAAAGCGAAUGAUUAGAGGCCUUAGGGUCGAAACGACCUUAACCUAUUCUCAAACUUUNAAUGGGUAAGAACCUAACCUUUCUUGAUAUGAAGGNUCAGGUUNUGAUAUAAUGUGCCCAGUGGGCCACUUUUGGUAAGCANAACUGGCGCUGUGGGAUGAACCAAACGUAAUGUUACGGUGCCUAAAUUUACAACUCGUGCANAUACCAUGAAAGGCGUUGGUUGCUNAAAACAGCAGGACGGUGGACAUGGAAGUCGUAAUCCGCUAAGGAGUGUGUAACAACUCACCUGCCGAAGCAACUAGCCCUUAAAAUGGAUGGCGCUUANGUUGUAUNCCUAUACAUUACCGCUAAAGUACAUGANUUAUAAUACANUUUCGGUUGUUUUUNUANNUUUUGAAACUUUAGGGAGUAGGAGGGUACAAUGGUGUGCUUAAAAGUGUUU